rnacentral:tRNA from 1 species
UCUUCAAUAGCUUAAAGGUAGAGCAAACGGCUGUUAACCGUUAGGUUAUAGGUUCAAAUCCUAUUUGAAGAG